UAUUGUGGAGUACUUCCAAGAAUUAACCUCGUAAACAAACUGUUGAAUAUGUUUAACGUUUGAUUUUUUCUUCGGAUUGUUAGUCACGCGGAUAUCGAUGACGUCAGCGGUGAGUAACCACGAAAGCCCGCGUCCGCUGUGUCGGUCACAAAGCGAUUACCUACCUCGGUAUUUAGGUGAAAUGGAGACCUUAUGACAAGUUAUGAGUUCAUCUCGCGUCAUCCGAAGUAAGAGAUAGCGGGAACUACUGUGGGACGCGUGGGAGGCUCAUACCACAAUAUAAAUGGAACAUAAAUCUACAGUUACUUGGAACAUCAAUAGCUGGUUCAUUAAAAAGGAGGAACUAUAAGAAAGGAGAUCGAGUGGAGUCCGGCCACACUCGGCGCGAGGUGCCGAGGUGUCGCAACCCCGGCGUCUGCUGCUCAACUAUUCGAACCAGCUGACGCGACAUGGCGCCCGCGUCGGCAAACCUUUCAUGCUGCACUAUCGACUGCGCCGAUGAAUGAGGUUGCAUAUU